GGGUGGUAUCACAUGCAACAAAAAUGAAAUAAAUAAAUUAGUGGGGCCUCACUUCGUCAAAGUCUGGCAAAUAUGUAUUUUAAAAACAAUCAAGUAGCAUAGCUAAAUAGUAUUAAGGGCAAUAAAUGAUCUCUAUAUAAACAAGAAAGUAACACUUAAAUUUAUUGUUAACAAAGUAAACAUUUUAAUCUACUAUGCAA
rnacentral:lncRNA from 1 species